rnacentral:rRNA from 1 species
UACAGAGGUCUCAAGCGUUGUUCGGAUUCAUUGGGCGUAAAGGGUGCGUAGGCGGCGCGGUAAGUCGGGUGUGAAAUCUCGGAGCUUAACUCCGAAACUGCAUUCGAUACUGCCGUGCUUGAGGACUGGAGAGGAGACUGGAAUUUACGGUGUAGCGGUGAAAUGCGUAGAUAUCGUAAGGAACACCAGUGGCGAAGGCGGCCACCUGGACGGUAACUGACGCUGAGACGCGAAAGCGUGGGGAGCAAACAGG